CAUUAGCUUGUUGGUAGGGUAACGGCCUACCAAGGCUGUGAUGCGUAGCCGAGUUGAGAGACUGAUCGGCCACAAUGGAACUGAGACACGGUCCAUACUCCUACGGGAGGCAGCAGUAGGGAAUCUUCCACAAUGGGCGCAAGCCUGAUGGAGCAACACCGCGUGAGUGAAGAAGGGUUUCGGCUCGUAAAGCUCUGUUGUUAGAGAAGAACGUGCGUGAGAGCAACUGUUCACGCAGUGACGGUAUCUAACCAGAAAGUCACGGCUAACUACGUGCCAGCAGCCGCGGUAAUACGUAGGUGGCAAGCGUUAUCCGGAUUUAUUGGGCGUAAAGCGAGCGCAGGCGGUUUGAUAAGUCUGAUGUGAAAGCCUUUGGCUUAACCAAAGAAGUGCAUCGGAAACUGUCACACUUGAGUGCAGAAGAGGACAGUGGAACUCCAUGUGUAGCGGUGGAAUGCGUAGAUAUAUGGAAGAACACCAGUGGCGAAGGCGGCUGUCUGGUCUGCAACUGACGCUGAGGCUCGAAAGCAUGGGUAGCGAACAGGAUUAGAUACCCUGGUAGUCCAUGCCGUAAACGAUGAGUGCUAGGUGUUGGAGGGUUUCCGCCCUUCAGUGCCGCAGCUAACGCAUUAAGCACUCCGCCUGGGGAGUACGACCGCAAGGUUGAAACUCAAAGGAAUUGACGGGGGCCCGCACAAGCGGUGGAGCAUGUGGUUUAAUUCGAAGCUACGCGAAGAACCUUACCAGGUCUUGACAUCUUGCGCCAACCCUAGAGAUAGGGCGUUUCCUUCGGGAACGCAAUGACAGGUGGUGCAUGGUCGUCGUCAGUUCGUGUCGUGAGAGGUUGGGUUAAGUCCCGCAACGAGCGCAACCCUUGUUACUAGUUGCCAGCAUUCAGUUGGGCACUCUAGUGAGACUGCCGGUGACAAACCGGAGGAAGGUGGGGACGACGUCAGAUCAUCAUGCCCCUUAUGACCUGGGCUACACACGUGCUACAAUGGACGGUACAACGAGUCGCGAACUCGCGAGGGCAAGCUAAUCUCUUAAAACCGUUCUCAGUUCGGACUGCAGGCUGCAACUCGCCUGCACGAAGUCGGAAUCGCUAGUAAUCGCGGAUCAGCAUGCCGCGGUGAAUACGUUCCCGGGCCUUGUACACACCGCCCGUCACACCAUGAGAGUUUGCAACACCCAAAGUCGGUGGGGUAACCCUUCGGGGGGCUAGCCGCCUAAGGUGGGGCAGAUGAUUAGGGUG
rnacentral:rRNA from 2 species